rnacentral:rRNA from 1 species
ACGGGGUGCAGCAGGCGCGAAACCUUUACACUGCACGAACGUGCGAUAAGGGGACUCCAAGUGCGAGGGCAUACAGUCCUCGCUUUUUCCUACCGUAAGGAGGUAGGCGAAUAAGAGCUGGGCAAGACCGGUGCCAGCCGCCGCGGUAAUACCGGCAGCUCGAGUGAUGGCCACUAUUAUUGGGCCUAAAGCGUCCGUAGCUGGCCGAACAGGUCCGUCGGGAAAUCCGCUCGCUCAACGAGCGGACGUCCGGCGGAAACCAGUCGGCUUGGGACCGGAGGACCCGAGGGGUACGUCCGGGGUAGGAGUGAAAUCCUGUAAUCCUGGACGGACCACCGGUGGCGAAAGCGCCUCGGGAGGACGGAUCCGACAGUGAGGGACGAAAGCUUGGGUCACGAACCGGAUUAGAUACCCGGGUAGUCCAAGCUGUAAACGAUGCUCGCUAGGUGUGGCACUGGCUACGAGCCAGUGCUGUGCCGUAGGGAAGCCGAGAAGCGAGCCGCCUGGGAAGUACGUCCGCAAGGAUGAAACUUAAAGGAAUUGGCGGGGGAGCAC